UUUUGUUGUUAUGUAU
rnacentral:sRNA from 1 species